GAUGAAGAACGCAGCGAAAUGCGAUAAGUAAUGUGAAUUGCAGAAUUCAGUAAAUCAUCGAAUCUUUGAACGCACAUUGCGCCCGCCAGUAUUCUGGCGGGCAUGCCUGUUCGAGCGUCAUUUCAACCAUCAAGCCCCAGGCUUGUGUUGGGGACCUGCGGCUGCCGCAGGCCCUGAAAACCAGUGGCGGGCUCGCUGUCACACCGGGCGUAGUAGAUUUUAUCUCGCUCAGGGCGUGCUGCGGGUUCCGGCCGUUAAAAAGCCUUUUUUACCCAAGGUUGACCUCGGAUCAGGUAGGAAGACCCGCUGAACUUAAGCAUAUCAAUAAGCGGAGGA
rnacentral:misc_RNA from 1 species